GCUGUCAACAAAUGAUAUGUCGAUGUGUGUGUGAGUGUGUGUGUGUGUGUACAGAUUUCUGGCCAAAGAUUAAACUUCUCUCUGAGAGAAACAAAAAAAGCCAUUUAGCUCAGCUUAAGGCGACCCUUUUGACAACUUACCUGUGCCCAGUUGAUUUUAAGUCCUUAAACCGAUAUUGUUAAAAAUUCUGACGAGGACACAUCAUAUAUGUUUUUGAUCAGGACGACAAACUGUAUCAAUAUAGCCAGACAGACAUGUCUGUACGACCAAUGUGCAUUGGCUAUUCACUCUUCAUUCUGCAUUCACAAAUGUGUUGAAGCAAAAUGAAGCUUAUAUUUGAAAUAUCUGCGAGGGUAUUAAAUCUGAGGUCAUCCGAAGAUAGUUUUUUGUUUGUUUUGUAUUUGUUAUCGGUGUUGAAAUAGUUCUUAAAUUAUUAUCAUAUGUCAUCCAUUCCAUAAUUAUUGUUUGAGCCAAAAACGAUUGUCCUUGAAUAAAAAAACUUGUUAAAUUG
rnacentral:sRNA from 1 species